rnacentral:lncRNA from 1 species
AUACUUCUAACAAUGUUCCCUAGCACACUUGGAAGGGAAUGAAGAAGUAGAGCCAACAAGAUUAUUUGGCACACCUACUGGGCAUUACAUUCUCUAGUGAGACCUUGUGUAGUCAUCAUUACAUUCUUUGGUGGGACCUUGCAUAGUCAUCAUCAUACUAGUUCUAGUGGGAUAACUAUGUGGUCGGCAUUAAAGAACUAAGGAGACAUUGGAUGCUUACCGGAUG